rnacentral:misc_RNA from 1 species
AACGCACCUUGCGCUCCUUGGUAUUCCGAGGAGCAUGCCUGUUUGAGUGUCUUGAAGUCAUCAACCCCUCCCGUUUUGUGCGGAGAGGUCGGUUGGACCUGGGGGCUUGCUGCCGUUGGGCGGCUCCCCUCAAAUGAGUCGGUUGGGCCUGCGGGUCGAACUCGGUUGGGCGUUGUACCAUCCUCGCUCCGGUCCGAGAUGUUCCCCAUUUGUUGAGCCCUCCCAAGACCGCCGUUGGAGUGGCGGUCAAGCUGAAACUUUGAAAUCUGACCUCAAAUCAGGUAGGACUACCCGCUGAACUUAA